GGUUACUUGAACAAUGGAUUUGCAAAUGCAGUACAGCUGACUUAUGUUUCACAUGAUUGUCACAUCAGUGAGCAAGGUUCAGUUUAGGGAUUGAGAGCCCUCAGCAACUAUAACAUCUAGCCCAUAUUCACAUUGUAGCACUUGAUUGCUGCCACGGAUUCUUCAAAAUGCCUAUCUUGUAUGGGAUGCUUGACAGCCAAAUGGAAUGAUUUAAACAAAUGCCAAAGGUGAGACAUGCUGGAAAAGCUUGAUAUGAAUGUGUAGACGUAGUUUUGGAAUUCAGAGGUGCAGCCGGCUGUUGGGAUUGCGCCAUCCAGGCAAUGUGGAUAUUCUGCCAUGUACAUAAUAAACCAAGGAUUCUUCGUCAACAUGCAAGAUGUUACUCCCUGUAAACUACUGUUGGCUGAAUAGCUGAUACAUUGGGAAAACGGUUAUGGCAAGUGCGAUGAAUAAAUCACCAUAGGUCGGUUGUCUUGCCUUCACAAUUGCAACGAAGAUGAAUCAUGGAGUCAAAAACAUUAAAAGGCGAACAUGCUGGAAUUCGUGUCAUCCUGGAGAGGACUAAAAAAAACGAGCUUUAUCCACGAAGCAGCUCAUUAAUCAUGUCCCAAACGAUUGUCUGCGUCAGCCAGCAAUCUUUCAAUGGCUAACAAGCAUGUAAUAGUUUUGAAAAUCGCGGUUUGCACUCCCUAAGGCGACAUUCCUUAAUCCCACCUGUCAAAAGAUUUGAAUGCAACCAUUUUCUUUUCUGAACUGUCGCCUACGAAAUUCUUUUUCCAUAAAAUGAGGUGAUAUGAGGUUAUAAUGGAAAUUGUCGUCAAGACUGCCGAGACCAUGUACCUUCUUUACCUUCACGUUUAGUGAUCAAAACAACCAACUAUGUAACCUUUCUUUUUCUUUUUAAGGUGCAUGGAACGUCCAUUCGGAAAGCCCAUGGAAGGUCUCUGUGGCCAACACGAAAGGUUCUCCCAAACUUUCGUAUUCAAGUUUUGGCUAUGGUGAUCAUUUGCAACUGCAUAGCCUUUUAGAAGCUCCUGCCAGGAAUCUACAGGAAUAUGGCAGAUGAUGAAUUUAUGUACCAUGUAAGCGAUAUCAAUA